UACGGAGGAUCCGAGCGUUAUCCGGAUUUAUUGGGUUUAAAGGGUGCGCAGGCGGCGCGUUAAGUCAGCGGUGAAAUCUCCCGGCUCAACCGGGGAACUGCCGUUGAUACUGGCGUGCUGGAGUACGGACGGCGCCGGCGGAAUGUGUCAUGCAGCGGUGGAAUGCUUAGAUAUGACACAGAACACCGUUCGCGAAGGCAGCUGGCGAGGCCGGUACUGACGCUCAGGCACGAAAGCGUGGGGAUCAAAC
rnacentral:rRNA from 1 species